UGGAUUUUGAUAAGAAAAAUAAGUAGAAAGUGGAAAAUGGGCGGUUACCUUUCCAUUUUGCUAGACACUUAAAUUAUUUCUGCCCCUUAGAAAGGAGAGCAACAGUUAAAAGAUGUAUUCAAUUGUUCUUUGAGCCAAGAACUUAAUUUUCACUUAUUCUUUAUCAGUAACAUGCAUCACAUGUGCUGAGUUCAAGUUCACAAAAACUAAUCUUUCUAAAUUAGUUCUUUUUUGUAGAAUUUUCUUCGCUAAAACCUAAUGUUUUUUUGGGUGCAAUGUAUAUAACUUUUACUUUAUAAGAUAUGCAUCUUAUUUUUUCACACUUCUGAACAAAUUUUGAUAUCUUUCUUCUAUUAUUGUUUUCAAGUGUAGAGCAUUCAACUAGCCUAUGUGAAAUAGUAAUGAAAGACACUAUUUACAAUAAUGCAAAGCAGGGAGAACACGCAGGUACCAAAAAUAUCAUGACACAAUUUUAUCACCAUUUUAACUAUACUAAAAGAACUCCAGUCAAUUAACAUAAACCGACUUACUGAAGCAAGCUAUCAGAUCUUGGAAACUACGUCAACAACAUGGUUCAAAGAACAUACAAAGAGCACAUAAAAACAAUGCCACAUCCUUCAGUUCUAGUAAAUAAGUUUGUCCCAGGUUGGAAAGUGAAGAAGCAAGUUACUCAAUAAAAGGGAUAUCGACAUAUAACGCGCAAACCAAAAGUAGAAAUCAAGAACCCUCUAGAGAAUCUAAAAAUGAAGCGAGAAAAUAAGAAUUGGUGAAACUACAAUAUAAUGCCAGAUAUAAAUGACAAAUCAAGAACCAUCUUGAUAUUUUGAAGAAGCAAGAGAAUACGAAGGUAAAAGAUUCAUAUGUUAGCAAAUCUUCAAAGUUCUCUUUCGAACUCCAAAGCGAGAAAGAAAAAACCACAUCGAACGUCUGAAUUAAACAAAGUGAACAACCAAAGGAGACAUCAACAAUGCAAAUUGGAAAAGGCUUGCGUUAAUUACUGAUUUGUCAUUCGAAAGGCCAAAAAUUACUACAUCAAUAUCAUCCAAAAUUGCGGGAGACCACAAUAAUGCAAAUUGGAUAGGUUUUCUUUAAUUGCUGAUCUAUCAUUUGAAAAAGCCAAAAUGAUUGCAUCAAUAUCAUCCAAAAAAUCGCAUCAAUAGCUGCAUUUACACAUAAGCUGGAUGAAAACAUCUGCAUUUAGACAAAGGUAACCACAAGAAGAGACCAAUAGAUUGUGAUUUGUGAAUUAGAAAUCUUGUUUUUAAUCAGACCAAGAAAUCUGUAUUAAAGUUUAUUUAUUGUUGGGUAGUAGGUUUGUCUGGUAUGUUUGGCUAUUAUUGAAAUAGGUAGGUUUGAUUUCAAUUAGGUCUCUCUUCGUAGUGUUGUCUAAAGCAGAUGGUACGGUUGAGGGUUUUUUCAAACAUAGUUUAAUAUUGUGUAGUGGCGGCUGUUUGCUAUGUUAUAUUGUCUGGGUAUUUUUGAACUUGUAGUACAUUGUUGUGCUUUACAAGGUUAGCUUUCUGGUUGAAAAAUUGAGACACUUUCUCCAUUUUGGUAUGUUUAGUUGCCACGGCAACUUGUAUGAUUGAAUUUUGUUUCCGCUGUUAAUAUUUGAGUUUUCAAGGUUUUGGUUGCUAUUGCUUAAUUUAUGUUUGUUUUAUGGGAUUUAGGUUCUUGUAAUUUUCAUGCUUUGCAUAAGUGAUUCUUGACUUCUUCAGAAUAUUGCAUUUGAUAAGUCUAUUUAAAUACUUGAUAUAUUCUUUUUAUUUUUGACUCCAUUAGGGAUUUGUUUCUGCUAUAGUUUAUUUGUGGUUAUCUAACAUGGAUGCUUUCAGAAGCUUACUUGUAAUGUCUAAUGGAUUUUUCUAAAAUAUUUGCAUUAAUUACUGUUGGAACUAGGUACCAAAGAUCGCUAUAUGCUUGGUUCUGAUGAAGAAAAUAGGGUCGAAUUUGCAUGGUUUAUGCUGUGUUAGAUUUUUCAUCUGUCCAUAUGAUACCUGGUAUUUUCUGUUUCUAAAAGAUCUGCUUGUUGGGUUAUCGUUGUUUGAUAAAGAUGCUAAGGCAGAUGAAUGGUGAAGCUAGGAAGAACAAAAUUUGAGUAACCUAGGGAAAGCUUGGGAGUUGAGAGUUAUGCUUUCAGUGAUGUUCAGUUGAUGGGUUUGCGUAAUGAUGUCAUGGGUAUGCAUUUUCUUUAUUUUCACCGAUAUAAUUUGAAAAACUAGGCUUAACUAGUUUGGAUGCAUACCCUCGUACAAGCGAUCAUGCAUGUGGAUUUGAAACCCAGGAUGAGACUCAUCUACUGUGUUCAGAUGACUUUCAAAGAGAGGCGUUUAAAGAAGUCCUUUGGGAUGCUAAUAAGCAUCACACCCAACAAAUUAAGAGGGAGGCUAUAUAUGACAUAUGAACUUGCAAGAGAUGGUGCAUGACAAAUUGUGAAACAUAGAACAUUUAUGGGCUUAGGUUAUCAUUUUUGACCAUCAAUUUUUUGAUGCAGCCAUUGGAGAUAUUUAUUCAUCUCACAUCAACUACAGAUGUUCAACAUUGAAUUGGGUCACUUGGGACCAAUUUUCUCCAGUAUUUCGUUUUUGUAAUUUUUUACAGAUAUUAAAAAACAUUUGGUUUAAUGCUUAAUGCCAUGAAAAAUCAAAAUAGCUACUUUUAUGCUUAGGCAACUAGUAGAAAGAUCUAUUGGAGAAAUGAACAAAAUCUAUACAUGAACUUUAUUUACUUGGGGAGAGUGCGGAGUAGUUUGUUAGGCAAUAUGGUGCAUGUUAAUGAGGAAAGCUAAGGAAAUGGAGGGUUUUCUGAUAGCUGCAAAGCAAACAAAAUGUUUGGUCUAUUUAAUUAUUUAUGCUGUGAAGUUAUGGGAACGAUGAGUUUUAUCAGUGCUCCAUUGCCUCGUGAAAGCUUCUCCAAUGUUGUAAAGAUGAAGAAGAACCAAGUUCUUAAAUAUGGAUAUUUUGGAAAUCUGAGUGGUGGUUGCCAGCCACUAGGAUGUUGAUUUAGAUCACGAUAAAGCUAAUAAUUAUUGCAAUAGUGAUUGGUUGCAUGGAAGCAUUGAAACUCUAAACAGUUAGUUGUGCCAGCAGCACAGGUUAUGCUAUGAACAUAGUGGCAUGCUCUGGCUGUGGUUGUAUAGUGGAGGCCAUGCUUUGGUGGGAGUAUCAAUAGAAAGAAGGCUCUCAGAAUGAGUAUCAAAAACAAAAGCACCUAAAGGAUAUCCAAGGGUGACGGCAUUGUUCAGAAUGUGAAAUUUAUUGAGGCAGAACUAAGGGGUGGGAAGUGGGAGCAGGCUUAGACAUGCAUUAUGAUUUAGGACAAGGGAAGGAUAAGAAGGGUCAUUGAAAGGAUAUGGGUGAUUAGGAUUGGAAGGGUUAGACAGACCCAAAGGCUAGGAACUUCAAAUAUUUUAAUUCCUUGCCCUGUUUGUAUUAGGUACAUAUAAAAUAUUGAUACUCGCUGGAUACUUCUAGGAUAUGUGUUGAGUACUUCUAGUAUCUUACUUUUCAAGAUUUGAAAAAGGGUUCAGAUACUUCCCAACUUAGCCUGUGAUACUUUGAUAACACCCUAAGAAUGAGGGGUGGGGCUUUAUUUUCUUGUUAACUUUUAAUGAAUCCUGGCCUUUUAAUGAUGAAUGGCUAAUUUUGGAGAUUGUGAUGUUGAUGUUAUUGCAUGGAGUAUGAAUUAUGGUCUAUUGGUCUAAAUGAUAACUAAAUGGACCUUGAGGAUGCUAGUUCUGUUGUAUAAAAUAUGGAAUACAUUGUUUCGAUGGCCUACUAUACUUUAUAAAUGCUAUUAUAUAUGUAAGAACAUCUGUAUUUAUUCAUUGUUCCAAGCCAUAUUAUAUCGUACUUUAUUGAGAUUUGCCAUAUUGGUGAAUCUGCCCAAUAUCCAUAUCAUAGUUGUAAAAGGAGAUUCAAAGGAAAAGCAUAAUCAUGGGGAGUAACAAAUUUUAACCUACAAAUGCUAGCGUGACUUGACCCAACCUUCUUUCAAUCAGGUAUCUGGAAACCUUUCAGUUGGCACUUUCCAGGUCAUGUUAUGGUUAAGAGCCUAAUGGCUCUUUUCAACAUAUUGACUUCGAGUUGUUUAUUCAGAAUCAACUAGGAGAAAGAAUGGAAUAUAUACAGCUGAAGGGUGAAAAUGGGGCAAGAAAAGUAAAGCUGCUUGCAAGGCUAGCAAUCAUGAAGGGUGGGGGAAGUUCAGUUGAUUGGAAGUGUUAAGGUUAGUGUGGAUUUUAGUUCGAACUCUUCAUGCAUGGAAGUGGAAAUGAGUAUAUGAAUUCAGAUGGAGUUUGACAUAACGAGUCCAAAAAUUUUGAUGGAGUUUGACAUUGUGUGUGCACGUGACCAUGCAUGGUUUCAUGGAUGCAUGCUUGCAUAUCAAGUUUCUAAGUUAUGACUAAUGGGAUGUGACAAGUGGAUAACGUACUGAAGUCCUUAUGGAAUUGCAUGGAGAGAUGAGGAGCAAAAUCACAUUGCCAAGUCAUGGAACAAAGUUGAUGUUUGUGCCUGCAGGAACCACCAGUUCUUCUACCAGCAUCAGAAAGAGUGCAGGAAACAUGCUAAGCAGGUUUCAUAUUUGAAGGCAUUGACAACAAAUAUAAUGAAUGCAUUCUUGUUACUUGCAAGAUACCGGUGUUAGAUACAUAUUUUUCGCACAUAUCAUUGUAGAUACUCGCAAAAUUUUCCUUAUGCAGAAUCUUGCUUUGCAGGAAGGAACCAAGAAUUCCACAGAUUAAAGCUCAGAUUCCACCAAUUAUCAGAAUUUGAUGAAGGAAAAUGCAGUUGUCGCAGACGUCUGGCAAGGCACAAUGAGCGUCGAAGGAAGCCACCUCCUGGACCUUUGUCAUCAUGCUAUGAAGACCCCAGCAGAUUCAGAAGCUUUCUUAUUGGUGCGGGCACCAGUACCAGACCACCCGUCACUCGGGUCUAUAGUCGCUGUGGGAGGAUGGUCCAGCCAGUUUCAUUGUAGUUAGAGUGAUUUUAUUUCAUUUUGAUGGCCUUUGGGCUUAUGUAAUUUUUUUUUAUGUUUGAGAGCCUUUUGUGAGAUUGGCUUCUUUGUAGAAAAGUUUUUGUAUUUUGGAUCUUAUAUAUAUGUUGGACCAUACGUUUGUAUGGGUUAUGCUAUGAAUGAGGAAAUAGUUCUUUUUCUUUUAA